rnacentral:rRNA from 1 species
AGUUCAUUUACUUUGAGAAAAUUAGAGUGUUUAAAGCAGCCUCUUGGGGCACUGAAUACAUUAGCAGUGGAUAAUAAAUAGGAUCUUCAACAAAAUUAUUUUAUUGGUUUAAAUUGGAUAUGAAGAUAAUGAUUAAUAGGGACAGGUUGGGGGUAUUCAUAUUGGGUGGUUAGCGGUGAAAUGCUCGGAUCCAUUCAAGAUGAACUAAAGCGAAAGCAUUUACCAAGGAUGUUUUCAUUAAUCAAGAACGAAAGUUAAGGGGAUCGAAGACGAUUAGAUACCGUCGUAGUCUUAACUAUAAACUAUGCCGACCAGGGAUAUGAGUUGUUAGGAUUAUAUGAAAGUAUAAUCAAUUUCUUCUUAUGAACCUUGUGAGAAAUCAUAAGUUUUUGGGUUCUGGGGG